rnacentral:rRNA from 1 species
GACGAACCGUGCGAACGUUAUUCGGAAUCACUGGGCUUAAAGCGCGUGUAGGCGGAUGAGCACGUCUGUCGCUGAAAUCCCCCGGCUCAACCGGGGAACGGGCGCGGAUACGGCUCGUCUCGAGGGGCGUAGGGGGACCUGGAACUUCCGGUGGAGCGGUGAAAUGCGUUGAGAUCGGAAGGAACGCCCGUGGCGAAAGCAGGUUCUGGGCCAUCUUUGACGCUGAGCUGCGAAAGCUAGGGGAGCAAACAGG